UACGUAGGUGGCAAGCGUUGUCCGGACUUACUGGGCGUAAAGCGCGCGUAGGUGGUGGUGGCAAGACCGGUGUGAAAUCCCACGGCUUAACCGUGGGGCGCCACUGGUGACUGCUCCACUCGAGCCUGGCAGAGGUGGGUGGAAUUGCCGGUGUAGUGGUGAAAUGCGUAGAGAUCGGCAGGAACACCAAGGGGGAACCCAGCCCACUGGGCCAGCGCUGACACUGAGGUGCGACAGCGUGGGGAGCGAACAGG
rnacentral:rRNA from 1 species